GACGAACGCUGGCGGCGUGCUUAACACAUGCAAGUCGAACGGUAAGGCCCUUCGGGGUACACGAGUGGCGAACGGGUGAGUAACACGUGGGUGAUCUGCCCUGCACUUCGGGAUAAGCCUGGGAAACUGGGUCUAAUACCGGAUAGGACCCUGGGAUGCAUGUCCUGGGGUGGAAAGCUUUUGCGGUGUGGGAUGGGCCCGCGGCCUAUCAGCUUGUUGGUGGGGUGAUGGCCUACCAAGGCGACGACGGGUAGCCGGCCUGAGAGGGUGACCGGGCACACUGGGACUGAGAUACGGCCCAGACUCCUACGGGAGGCAGCAGUGGGGAAUAUUGCACAAUGGGCGCAAGCCUGAUGCAGCGACGCCGCGUGAGGGAUGACGGCCUUCGGGUUGUAAACCUCUUUCAGCACCGACGAAGCGCAAGUGACGGUAGGUGCAGAAGAAGGACCGGCCAACUACGUGCCAGCAGCCGCGGUAC
rnacentral:rRNA from 1 species